AGAUAAUGGUGGUACAAGGAUGGAGGGCGGGAUGGGGGAACCAUUAACCCCCCUUUUUUUUUGGACACCUAGGGUAGAUGUUAUCCUCAUAUACAGCUAAUUGUUGUACUCUAGAAUCACUAUACCUUGAAGAUAUUUCAUUUAUUUUGUAGCGUAACAUUUUCCCUGAAAUUGGGUUUAGCAUUUACUACUAUUAUAUUUAAAUAACAGUGGAUCUCCUUGUGUGUUAUAAUUUCUAACUCAGGUUGACAGCAUAAUACCUGGGUCACUUCCUUCAUCUAUAACAGGGCCCGUAAUUCUUGUGGUUCGCAGAGCUGAUGGAGAUGAAGAGUUAUGAAAGAUCUCUGAAUGUGUUUAGCACAUAGUAUUGAAGACCCUCAACUGUAUGUGUAACAUGAGGGAUAUUUGGCAGGUGAUGGCUGCAGGGACUAAUAUAGUUGGUGUGAUAUUUCUGCAAGAGCUACCACACUUAUGCCAUCUUGGUGUUCGAGCUCGACAAGAGAAGGUUACCUUGUGACCUGCGAAGAUGAUGAUUACCUUUGUGACUUGCGAAGAUGAUGAUUCGGCUUCUUAUAUUGAGAAACUUGAGAAAUAUUAUCCAGCCUGUUCAUGUCUUCUAGUCAUAGCAAAGUUGUCUCAUAUGUUAAAUUCUUGUCUACUAAUGAAUUAACUUGCUUCUGCAUUAACUGAUAGCACAUUGUGCUUGUGGCAUCAACUGUAAUCCGCUUCAAUUCUGUGUUAAAAACAUGGAAUUUGUGCACAUGAAUUGGAAGAAACGGGCCUAGGUGCUCUAUUAUUUUUUUGUAACUUAGUUGAAGUUUUGGAAUCUUCUACCAUUAUAUUGAUAUGCAUGUGAUUUUGUAGUGAAUGAUAUUGAAUGAAUGAAAAGGUAUUCCAAUUAUAAA